rnacentral:tRNA from 1 species
GCCGGGGUAGCUCAGUGGGAGAGCAGAGGAUUGAAAAUCCUUGUGUCACCAGUUCAAUCCUGGUUCCUGGCA